UACGUGGGGGGCAAGCGUUGUCCGGAAUUAUUGGGCGUAAAGCGCGCGCAGGCGGUCUCUUAAGUCUGAUGUGAAAGCCCACGGCUCAACCGUGGAGGGUCAUUGGAAACUGGGGGACUUGAGUGUAGGAGAGGAAAGUGGAAUUCCACGUGUAGCGGUGAAAUGCGUAGAUAUGUGGAGGAACACCAGUGGCGAAGGCGGCGAGCUGGUCCAUUACUGACGCUGAGGCGCGACAGCGUGGGGAGCAAACAGG
rnacentral:rRNA from 1 species